UACGUAGGGUGCAAGCGUUGUCCGGAAUUAUUGGGCGUAAAGAGCUCGUAGGCGGUUUGUCGCGUCUGCUGUGAAAACUCGGGGCUUAACCCCGGGCCUGCAGUGGGUACGGGCAGACUAGAGUGCGGUAGGGGAGACUGGAAUUCCUGGUGUAGCGGUGAAAUGCGCAGAUAUCAGGAGGAACACCGGUGGCGAAGGCGGGUCUCUGGGCAUUAACUGACGCUGAGGAGCGAAAGCAUGGGGGAGCGAACAGG
rnacentral:rRNA from 1 species